AGAAUGAGAGCUUUACCCUCCUUUCCGUACAGAAUGGAUAGAACAGGACCGGAGAAGCAUUCUGUGGAUUUUUUGGGGGUGAGAAAUAUGGAGGAGGGAAAAUGGGUUAGUGGAGUGUGUUAUACGCCUGCGCAGAGAGGAAUAAGAAUGCAUACCUCUCAUGCAUCAGAUAGACAGAUGUUUGGAUUGAACAGAACUGUCCUUCAGUACCUGUGGUCAAUUCCUGUUGCAUGAGCAGCAAGCUGAUAACAGAUGUGGAUGAGACCACACUGCCACCUACAGACCUCAGAACAACACCCUCAGGACAUUCUCAGACCUUCAAAACCAGACUGAUAACUUUUGAGUAAAGAUACGUUUAUUUUAAUGGCAUAUUAAAAGCUGGAAUAUAUUAUACAACAUUUAUCAAUAUUUUUGCCCCUGUUUACAGUCUGGACUAGUCGAUACUAAUUUCCAAAAGUUGGAGCAUAUUUGACUUGACAGAUUCAUCUGCACGUUCCACAUGUUCAAAUGAGAUUUCAGGCCCCACGUUUACACAGGCAAGCCUUGACAGCUCUAACAACAAUGUUUAGGCAGCUCAAAAAGUUUCCUGACGUGAGUUUAUCCAGUGCAACAGCUGACACAUACUACUAUAUGUAACUGUUGUUUUCUUUAACAUGACUAGCUUACGGCUUACAAAAACUUUUCUUAACCCUUCACACAUACUCUUUCUUCAAACCAGCUGAGAUCUCAGCAUAGUCCUUUAGUAUAAACGUACAACGUGCAUUGCUUGUCCUGCUUGCAGCUCUACAAAUCUCUUAUGGUCUUCCCUGAGCACAGGGACAUCAAUCUCUUCCUAAUUCCAUCAAGUGUGAAAGGGCCCUUAUGCGAAGUGCGCCGGGGACACGCCAGCUCUUUUGUAGCCCAUUGUGGGGAGCGGGGAGAUGGGCUGCACCAUCACAAUGCCCCUGCCCCAGACCCACGGUGCUCGUGACAGCAGAGCAGAUGGCGUCGGCACUAACCCAACAAAAGAGAUCUAAUUAGAGGAACAAUGGAGGCGAGCCGCAUGGGAAGACGGAACAGCGGAUCAAGGCUUUCUGGCUUUGACGGAAGGAAGGAGCGAUGGAUAGGUGAGGAGAAAAAGAGAAAGGAGAACAGUCAGCCAGCCUUUCUCGCUCUCUCCUGCCCCCCUAGCACUAAUAUAAGGGACUAUGACUUUAUUACCCCUCAUUAACACAAAUUAGGGCACUCAAAACCCCCUGAAUGAAGGUGACAAACUGAAUUAAGCAUGUGAAAACAAACCCACCCCACCCUGUGCCAGGCUGUGACCAUAUUGCGUUUACAUUCAUAGGGGUCUGACUACAAAAACGUGAUUGCUCUUAUGGGAUUCCUCUAUGAAAAUGUGACGAGAGAAUUCAAAGAGAAUUCUAAGAGAUUCUUUUAUUCUG
rnacentral:lncRNA from 1 species